UGCGAGAUAGUUUAAUGGUAGAACACCAGGCUCUGGACCUGGGAAUCCUGGUUCGAGUCCAGGUCUCGCAGCCA
rnacentral:tRNA from 1 species